GCCAGGUGUGGUGGUGCACACCUGUAAUCCCAGCUACUCAGGAGGCUGAGGCAGGAGAAUUGCUUGAACCCAGGAGGUGGAGGUUGCAGUGAGCCAAGAUCAUGCCACUGCACACUAGCCUGGGUGACAGAGCGAGACUCUGUCUCUA
ensembl:misc_RNA Metazoa_SRP Metazoan signal recognition particle RNA